rnacentral:rRNA from 1 species
CGUAUAGGCGGCCAGGUAAGUCAGAUGUGAAAGUCCCGGGCUCAACUCGGGAAGUGCAUUUGAAACUGUUUGGCUUGAGUAAGAGAGAGGAAAGUGGAAUUCCUGGUGUAGAGGUGAAAUUCGUAGAUAUCAGGAGGAACACCGGUGGCGAAGGCGGCUUUCUGGCUCUAUACUGACGCUGAGACGCGAAAGCGUGGGUAGCAAACAGGAUUAGAUACCCUGGUAGUCC